AACGAACGCUGGCGGCAGGCCUAACACAUGCAAGUCGAGCGCCCCGCAAGGGGAGCGGCGGACGGGUGAGUAACGCGUGGGAACGUACCCUUUGCUACGGAAUAGCCUCGGGAAACUGGGAGUAAUACCGUAUGUGCUCUUCGGAGGAAAGAUUUAUCGGCAAAGGAUCGGCCCGCGUUGGAUUAGGUAGUUGGUGGGGUAAUGGCCUACCAAGCCGACGAUCCAUAGCUGGUUUGAGAGGAUGAUCAGCCACACUGGGACUGAGACACGGCCCAGACUCCUACGGGAGGCAGCAGUGGGGAAUCUUAGACAAUGGGCGCAAGCCUGAUCUAGCCAUGCCGCGUGAGCGAUGAAGGCCUUAGGGUUGUAAAGCUCUUUCAGUGGGGAAGAUAAUGACUGUACCCACAGAAGAAGCCCCGGCUAACUCCGUGCCAGCAGCCGCAGUAA
rnacentral:rRNA from 1 species